UUAGGACUGUCAUAAAACAAGAUAGCUGACUCGGUGAUCAAAGGAUUUCCAAUCAUUAUUGUUCGAUUAGAAUUACAGAGUUUGAACUGAAUACGAAACUAUCGGAGUGUGAAGUGUAACCCCAAGAGGCACAGCCAUGGAAAUCCCACCUCCCUCCCCAAAAAGAAACCCUGAAAAAAGACAGGUUCGAAUUCAACAAGCUUGUACUUUCCCCAUGAUAACCAUAAACGCGAUUGAUGAAGAAGUAUCGAAAAAGAAGAGGAAAAUGGAGAGGACAGAUUUUCCUCAGCAGGUUGAGAUUGUUGACCUUGAGAGCGAUUUGUUUUCUAUUACAGCCAUUCCAGACAAAGGCACCACUAAGAAAAACGCUAUUUCAGUAGAACAAUACUGUGAACAAAGAGACAUCCAACUUGCCAUCAAGGCUUCGAUGACAACCUCGGACGAUAACUACAUAGAUCUCGACAUUUACGAUGAUGAUUUGUUCGUGCUUAACUUCGAGCCCCUAAAGACUCCUCCCAGAAAGAAGCGUGGAAAGAGAAAAAAACCCUUCAGCGAUUGUUCCAUAACUGAGCCUGGAGAGUCAUCAAAUUCCAAAGCCGUCGAAGGCCCACCUUUUAUCUGUGAAAUCUGCGUUGAACCAAGGCAAGCAAACGAGUCGUUUAACAUCAAAGGUUGCUCCCACGCUUACUGUAAGGAUUGCAUGAUCAAAUAUGUAGCUUCUAAAGUACAAAACAAGAUUACAGCCAUAACUUGCCCCGUGGCAAACUGUGAGGGUUUAUUAGAACCUGAGUACUGUCGCAAUAUACUUCCAAGAGAAGUUUUUGAUAGGUGGGGAGAUGCUUUAUGCGAGGCAGUGAUUUUAGGGUCUGAAAGGUUUUAUUGUCCUUUUAAAGAUUGUUCCAUGCUUUUGAUUGAUGAUGGAGGACAGGCUGUAAGAGAAUCGAUAUGUCCUAAUUGUCGGAGACUGUUUUGCGCACAGUGUAAAGUACCUUGGCAUGCUGGAGUUGAAUGUGGGGAAUUUCAGAGGUUGCAUACAGAUGAAAGACAGAGGGAAGAUAUUUUGUUGAUGAAGCUGGCUAAGGACAAGAAGUGGGCUAGGUGCCCAAGAUGUGGAUUCGUUGUUGAGAGAACUGAGGGCUGUAGGUAUAUGAGAUGCAGAAUCUGUUCCUCGGCGCCCUUGGAACCCACUAUGGAUGAUUGCUCAACAUCCUUCAUCGAUUUGUUGACUUGUACAAGAAUUAAGAAUUUCAUUGCAAGCUGAGUAAUUGACAUAUAAGAGGACUAUAACCACUGAUAAAGGCAAUUUGGCGUAGAGAAUAUUUUUCCUCUGAAUUUCAGAAAGCAGAGUACUUCAGUCUAAAGCAUUAACAAGGUGUGGAACUGCUUUCUGCUACGACUGUGGAUCAGCCCAAAUGGAUGGUCACCAUUAUUGCCAUAAAUGUAAACGUUAAAAUUUCUC